AUGAAAAUCAUCGGAUGGAACUGCCGGGGUUUGGGCAAUGGCCCGGCAGUUCGAAGCCUCCUCGAGAUGGGGAGGGUGGAGGAGCCCGACGUUCUUUUUCUGGCUGAAACAAAGAUGACAGUGGAGGAGUUGGAGAAGUUUAGGUGGAUGUUAGGUAUGGCACAUAUGUUAGCAUGGAGCUCAGAGGGGAGGAGUAGGGGGGUGGCGCUCUUUUGGAGGUGUGAGGUGGAUGUGAAGCUGAGAUCAUUUGGACGGAGACAUAUUGACGUGGAUGUAACUGAGGGAGAUGGCAGAAUCUGGAGACUCACCGGGGUGUACGGCGAAUCUGUUACUGAACGGAAGGGUGAAACUUGGCGGAUGAUGCGGCUUCUAGGACAACAACAUUAG
rnacentral:rRNA from 1 species